rnacentral:rRNA from 1 species
CUGGCUCAGGACGAACGCUGGCGGCGUGCUUAACACAUGCAAGUCGAACGAUGAAGCCCAGCUUGCUGGGUGGAUUAGUGGCGAACGGGUGAGUAACACGUGAGUAACCUGCCCUUGACUCUGGGAUAAGCGCUGGAAACGGCGUCUAAUACCGGAUACGACCUGCCCCGGCAUCGGGUGCGGGUGGAAAGUUUUUCGGUCAAGGAUGGACUCGCGGCCUAUCAGGUAGUUGGUGAGGUAAUGGCUCACCAAGCCGACGACGGGUAGCCGGCCUGAGAGGGUGACCGGCCACACUGGGACUGAGACACGGCCCAGACUCCUACGGGAGGCAGCAGUGGGGAAUAUUGCACAAUGGGCGAAAGCCUGAUGCAGCAACGCCGCGUGGGGGAUGACGGCCUUCGGGUUGUAAACCUCUUUUAGUAGGGAAGAAGGGCUUCGGCUUGACGGUACCUGCAGAAAAAGCACCGGCUAACUACGUGCCAGCAGCCGCGGUAAUACGUAGGGUGCAAGCGUUGUCCGGAAUUAUUGGGCGUAAAGAGCUCGUAGGCGGUUUGUCGCGUCUGCUGUGAAAACCCGAGGCUCAACCUCGGGCCUGCAGUGGGUACGGGCAGACUAGAGUGCGGUAGGGGAGAAUGGAAUUCCUGGUGUAGCGGUGGAAUGCGCAGAUAUCAGGAGGAACACCGAUGGCGAAGGCAGUUCUCUGGGCCGUUACUGACGCUGAGGAGCGAAAGCGUGGGGAGCGAACAGGAUUAGAUACCCUGGUAGUCCACGCCGUAMACGUUGGGAACUAGAUGUGGGGACCUUUCCACGGUCUCCGUGUCGCAGCUCACGCAUUAAGUUCCCCGCCUGGGGAGUACGGCCGCAAGGCUAGUUCUAUGUUGCCAGCACGUCAUGGUGGGAACUCAUAGGAGACUGCCGGGGUCAACUCGGAGGAAGGUGGGGAUGACGUCAAAUCAUCAUGCCCCUUAUGUCUUGGGCUUCACGCAUGCUACAAUGGCCGGUACAAAGGGCUGCGAUACCGUAAGGUGGAGCGAAUCCCAAAAAGCCGGUCUCAGUUCGGAUUGAGGUCUGCAACUCGACCUCAUGAAGUCGGAGUCGCUAGUAAUCGCAGAUCAGCAACGCUGCGGUGAAUACGUUCCCGGGCCUUGUACACACCGCCCGUCAAGUCAUGAAAGUCGGUAACACCCGAAGCCAGUGGCCUAACCGCAAGAAGGGAGCUGUCGAAGGUGGGAUCGGUGAUUAAGACUAAGUCGUAACAAGGUARCCGUGGA